UACGUAGGGUGCGAGCGUUGUCCGGAAUUAUUGGGCGUAAAGAGCUCGUAGGCGGUUUGUCACGUCUGCUGUGAAAUCCCGAGGCUCAACCUCGGGCCUGCAGUGGGUACGGGCAGACUGGAGUGCGGUAGGGGAGAAUGGAAUUCCUGGUGUAGCGGUGGAAUGCGCAGAUAUCAGGAGGAACACCGGUGGCGAAGGCGGGUCUCUGGGCCGAUACUGACGCUGAGACGCGAAAGCGUGGGGAGCAAACAGG
rnacentral:rRNA from 1 species